AAGCAGUUGUGCGGUAUUAGCUGGACAGCAACCGGCAGGUAUUGGCUGGUCCUGGAGUCCCUCACUGGGUAGAGGCUGUUCUGCUGUCUCCUGUUCCCAGAUCUGCAGUGAUCUUUUACAGAUUCUAGGCUAGGGCAUGACAGGCUGCACAUGGAACUAUCAUGAAGGGUUUGCAGAAGAGCGCUGAAGAGCUGAAGAAGACAAGAUGGAGGACCCUCACUGUCUGCUGGGAUGGGCCAUUGUCAUGACACAAAGAAGGCUCCUAUCCAGAGUGUGCAGGAUAUGACAGCCGCCCACAGGCUCUCAGGAUGAUGGGGCUGUCGAAUCCCGAAGUUUCCAGGCAUGACAAAGAGCCUCCCGGAGUGUCCAUGGGGAAGGAAUCCAUCACAGUGAAGGGCUAAGGAGCUGCUGAGGGCCCUCGAGCCUCCCGUGGAGGGCGGGAGAUAAUGAGGGCUGACUCAGGGCCGCCCACCUGGGCUGCAAUUAUUCAAUUUUCUUGGAAAAUCGGCUUCAUCAUGAUGAAUACUUCGCUGAUUUCAGAGCAGAUUAAUGCACUUGAUAUGAAGUGCGAUCCCAUCCAUCAGCUCCUGAAACUUGCUACAAGCUUGUGCUGAUUAACACAUCUUCUUUGGCUAUCUUGUCUGGUUGGUUCACCCACAGCCUCCAGCCCUCGCUGACCCAAGGAAGUGGGAGGAAGUUUUUUUUUUUAUAAAUGUUAUGUUCCAUA
rnacentral:lncRNA from 1 species